rnacentral:rRNA from 1 species
ACGGGUGAGUGACGCGUGGGAAUCUACCGUACCCUACGGAAUAGCUCUGGGAAACUGGAAGUAAUACCGUAUACGCCCUUCGGGGGAAAGAUUUAUCGGGGUAUGAUGAGCCCGCGUUGGAUUAGCUAGUUGGUGGGGUAAAGGCCUACCAAGGCGACGAUCCAUAGCUGGUCUGAGAGGAUGAUCAGCCACAUUGGGACUGAGACACGGCCCAAACUCCUACGGGAGGCAGCAGUGGGGAAUAUUGGACAAUGGGCGCAAGCCUGAUCCAGCCAUGCCGCGUGAGUGAUGAAGGUCUUAGGAUUGUAAAGCUCUUUCACCGGAGAAGAUAAUGACGGUAUCCGGAGAAGAAGCCCCGGCUAACUUCGUGCCAGCAGCCGCGGUAAUACGAAGGGGGCUAGCGUUGUUCGGAAUUACUGGGCGUAAAGCGCACGUAGGCGGGUAUUUAAGUCAGGGGUGAAAUCCCAGAGCUCAACUCUGGAACUGCCUUUGAUACUGGGUAUCUUGAGUAUGGAAGAGGUAAGUGGAAUUGCGAGUGUAGAGGUGAAAUUCGUAGA